UGCCCGAUCUGAGGGGGGAUAGCCGGCCCAACGGCCGGGUAAUACCGCAUACGUUCUCGAGGGGGAGUCCCCUUGGGAAGAAACCUCCGGGGCAGAUCGAGGGGCUCGCGGCCUAUCAGCUAGUUGGCGGGGUAAUGGCCCACCAAGGCGACGACGGGUAGCUGGUCUGAGAGGAUGGCCAGCCACAUUGGGACUGAGAGACGGCCCAG
rnacentral:rRNA from 1 species